GUAGACGUGGCAGACAGAAAUCUAAACAUCACCCAAAGCAGUGAAGUCCCAGGCAUUAAUCUUCAACAAAUAUUUAUUGAAAUCUGGCAGUCCAGACAUGCUUAUUCCAGGAGAAGCUGACAAGUAAAAGAGGGAGAAAGAGAGACAGGCAUGCGACCAAGCACAGUUUAUUUUCACAAGCUGCAUGCUAGCGAACAAAGACCUAGGAGAGCACAUCAAAAAAGGCAAUAUGUUCUGGCUGGGGGCUUGGAGCAGUCUGGAAGAACUCACAGAAGUGAUGACAUUCAAAGAAGGCCUGAGGAAGUAAAGAAAUUCACCGGGCAGAGAAAGAAGGGAAGGACAUUUUACAUCAGAGUGGGAACAGCACGAGCAUAUCAUGGCAGCGAAGAGCAUAUGGCACUUUUAUGAUAGAACGUAAGAUGCAGAGGUGGGAAGGUGGCAGAGGACAUUCAAAAGUGACGUUGCAGUCAUAUUCUGAGGGAUCUGACAGAUGAGCUGUUAAGAAAUAUGGACUCUGUUCUAUCAGUAUUAUGAAAUCAUUGAAUCAUUCAUUCAUUGAAAUGGUAUUUUCGGAGGACUUACUAUGUGCUAAGUACUGUGUCAGCCUCUGAAGAUUAAAAUAAAAAGGAAGGCCCUCCAGGGACUCACAGUCUGGUAGGGAGAAAGGCAGGCAAACAGUCACAGUACGGAUAGCUGAGAAGUCCGUAUCAUUUUCAAUGCUACCAAUGGAUGACUGGAAGAAAGGAAAGAAUUGGCAGUUUGGACUUCACGCUAGGGAAACACUUCAAGAGAAAGAAAAUUGAAGUUUCUGAUUUCAAGAUUUCUUAAGUCUUCAUACCAUGCCUUACAUGAUGUUCUCCUGACAACUUGUGACUACAAACAGAGGAUUACCGCAGAAUCAUAAGCAAACACGGGGACAGAUUGAUUUUGAGAUAUUUUCUAAGACAGACAGUUGACUGCAGAAACAUGCAGACUGGAGCUUGUGUUUUGAAAACAAGCAUGCUAGAGACUAAACAGGACAUGAAAGGUUUGCCUUUCUUGGUCUAAAACACAUUUCUUUUAAAGAUUUACCAUCAUAAAGACUUCUUUUUGAAAAGCUUUGUUGAAAACCAGCUUGUAAAUUUAAAAAUGCUCAAGAAAAAAUUGUUUGUCGAUGCAAAAGUUCAGCCAGGUUGCUUGGAAUGAUGACCAGAUAUGUCGCUAGAAUUCUCUCUUCUAUUUUCUUUCCUCUAUUUAGGCUCUGGCUCAUGCCUUGGUUUUGGAUGACAUGAGCUUCACCUUGCGGGGUUUUGGAGGGUGUUAUCUGGAAAAUACAUGACAUAGGCAUGUCAGAAGAAUUCAGAUCUUCCUUCUUAGGUAAAAGGGGUUAAAAUACUCUUAAUUAAUCAUCUAUCAGGGCAUUGGGCUGUCAGUACAGAUUACAAUUUUUUUUUUUUUUUUGAGAUGGAGUCUCGUUCUGU
rnacentral:lncRNA from 1 species